rnacentral:rRNA from 1 species
AUGUUGACCGGAAACAACGAUAUGAAGCCGCCGAUUCCUAAACGACCCCGGCGGAUGGCUAUGUCGCCGGAAUCAGCACCUUUAGCCUCCGGCAGUAGCAGCUUCAUCCCAGAUGAUAUAAUCUUCUUUCAGAUACUCGUACUUCUUCCUGUGAAGUCCCUUGUGCGCUUCCAAACCGUCUGCAAGUCAUGGCGCACCACAUUAACCAGCAUCAGUUUCGUGCGCUGGCACCUGGAGCUUUCCAAGCGAACAAGGUCGACCAUGGUCCUCGUGCCACGCAAGUAUCAGGAGGACCGACGGAAGGCGUGUUCUAGAUUACUCAGUAUCUUCAGCUUCCAGCCAGGGGAAAGCAAGUGUGCGGAGCUUAUCUUCCGAAAGGAAUUUCAUCCCUAUGGGAUCCCUGUGUUCAGCAUUCCUCUCCAUUGUGAUGGCCUGAUAUUGAUCCCUUGCAUAAUGGGGAAAAUUUUCAUCUGCAACCCGGCCACUAGAGAGUUUGUUGAGUUGCCACCUGGAAGCCCAAGUGUUCUCUUUGAGCACAGGGUCGCCUUUGGCUUUGAUCCUUGGAGUGGUACCUACAAGGUGGCGAGGCACUUCAUCCGCUCGUACAGAGAUACUCUGCAAAUAGAUGGGGAAGGAGGCACCACUAGAGAAUACAGCAGUGGACAUGAGAUCUUAACAUUCGGUGGUGACAACAAAGAAGAAGCUUGGGUAUGGAAGGCCACUGUGGAUCCACCAUACCCUAUCAAGGCCAGGACUCCAAUUUGUCUCCCAGGGGUCUUCUUUUGGAGUGCUCUCAAGUCCAUGGCACAUGGCAAGGUUAUCUCGAAUGUCAUCCUUCGAUUUAGUUUACUUGAUGAAACAUUUACGGUGCACCCUAACCCUCCAUGUAGUGAUCAUCUAGGCAAGAAUGAUGCACUAUCUGCACUAGGUGGAAAGUUAUGCUAUAUCCACUCUCCCACUCCGUGGGAGAUUGCCAUUUGGUUAGCGGAAGAUGGGCCAAAUCUGACUUGGUCACUAUGCCGCCGUGUCAGUCUGCCGAUACCAAGAAAUCUUCUUGCCUUUGCAUGUGCGUCAACUGACCCGGACAAGAUAUUCCUCUCCAUUGAUGCGCGCUACCUUCUCAGGUGUGACCUCCAUGAUGAAUCUCUUGAAGAAAUAAUCAACAUGCGCGACAUGUUGUAUGAUCUCCGGAACGGCAGAAAAUUCACCAUUGGUUCACUCCUUGUUGCCCACUAUAUGGUGCCAUUUGUGGAAUCACUGUUGCGCAUCAGAUCUUCAUAG